rnacentral:lncRNA from 1 species
UGAAUAUCUGCUGUUCAGAAAUAUCUCACCUUAAGCUGGGUUGAUGUGUGACUGAGAUGCACAGAUGGGUAUCUACCAUAGAAUUACAGCUUUCAAAUGCAAGGACAAAAUCUGCUUUCAGAAUCAAUUGAUCACUGAGCCUGAAAGGUCUGCAUGGACUGUCCUGAAAUGCCAACUGGCUGUCAAUGUCAUCCAUCAAGGGUCGAGCAAGGACUCACUGUGACAGACACCCUGCCUUGGAGAGAACCUGGGCUGGCUGUACUGAUCCCAGAGUGGUGCAACCUGGCACAGCAGCAAAAUGCAUCCAUGUCAAUGCUCCUGAUAGCAGCAGUCAAAGGAACACAGGCUGGGAACUCAUGGCUCUGUCCCUGCCUCUGGGUGACCGUAGGGAAAUUCUUUAUUGCCUCUCUGCUUCAGAGUCCUCUCCCUUACCUAGAGAAGAAAUCCAGUGUACCCCCAGCUGGGUAGUUGCAACAAAGAUAGAGCAGCACAUCGCUUGGGGCCUGUGAUUUAAAACUGGAUUUUCUUAUUCUGUACUAAUUUCACUGACUAUCACAAAUCUCUAUUUUUUUCAGUCAUGCAUUUAAAAAUCAGAAUAAGCAGACUGGGGCUGGAAGGAUUAAUAUGUUUCCUUUGAUACUAGAAUUCUAGUAUUUUGGACUGUGCACUGCAUUUCUUUUCUCCAAGACUGCAUAUAAAAUGCUAUUUGCUGACUUCUCAUCUAUAUAAUUAAAGCUAGCUCUAUUAUCAGAAGGAUUCUUAUGAGGCUUAGCUGCUCUCC